rnacentral:rRNA from 1 species
UCAAGCGUUUAAGGGCGUGUAGUGGAUGCCUUGGCACUGAAAGCCGAUGAAGGACGUGAUAUACUGCGAUAAGUUUCGGGGAGCUGUAUGUAAGCUUUGAUCCGAAAAUUUCCGAAUGGGGAAACCCACCACUUUAUGUGGUACUUUAAACUGAAUACAUAGGUUUAAAGAGACAACCUGGAGAACUGAAACAUCUAAGUAACCAGAGGAAAAGAAAUCAAUUGAGAUUCCGUUAGUAGUGGCGAGCGAACGCGGAGUAGGCCAGUAGUUUUGUUAGAAAAAUUUGAAUAGUUUGGAAAUGCUAACCAUAGAGGGUGAUAGUCCCGUAUGAGUAAUGUCUAACAAAAUUCUUGAGUAAAGCGGGACACGAGAAAUCCUGCUCGAAUAUAGGGGGACCACCCUCUAAGCCUAAAUACUCUUCAGUGACCGAUAGUGAACUAGUACCGUGAGGGAAAGGUGAAAAGAACCCCUAUUAGGGGAGUGAAAUAGAACCUGAAACUGCAUGCCUACAAUCAGUCCGAGCCCUUUUUAGGGUGAGGGCGUACCUUUUGUAUAAUGGGUCAGUGACUUAAUUUAUUAAGCAAGCUUAAGCCAUCUAGGUGUAGGCGCAGCGAAAGCAAGUCUUAAUAGGGCGAUUAGUUUAAUGAAUUAGACCCGAAAACGAAUGAGCUUACCAUGAGCAGGUUGAAAGUUGGGUAACACCAACCGGAGGACCGAACCAGUUGACGUUGAAAAGUCUUUGGAUGACUUGUGGUAAGGGGUGAAAGGCCAACCAAAUUCGUAGAUAGCUGGUUUUCCGCGAAAACUAUUUAGGUAGUGCGUCGAAUAAAUAGAUGUUUAGAGGUAGAGCACUAAAUGGGCUAGGGGGAAGAGAUUCUUACCAAACCUAAUAAAACUCCGAAUGCUAGACAUUGUUCUUCGGCAGACAGACUGUGGGUGCUAAGGUCCAUGGUCGAGAGGGAAAGAGCCCAGACCACCAGAUAAGGUCCCAAAAUCAUGAUUAAGUGUGAAAGGAUGUGGAAAUUCCUUAACAGCCGGGAGGUUGGCUUAGAAGCAGCCAUCCUUUAAAGAUAGCGUAACAGCUCACCGGUCUAAUAGAGUUUCUGCGCCGAAGAUGUAACGGGGCUAAAAUCAUGUACCGAAUCUGUGGCUUUGCAAAGUUUUCGAACUUUGUAAGGGGUAGCGGAACGUUCUGUAAGCCUGCGAAGGGAUACCCGUGAGGGAUCCUGGAGGUAUCAGAAGUGCGAAUGCUGACAUAAGUAACGAUAAACGAAGUGAAAAACUUCGUCGCCGAAAAUCUAAGGGUUUCUAUGCAAGGUUAAUCCGCGUAGAGUUAGUCGGCACCUAAGGCGAGGGCGAAAGCCGUAGUCGAUGGAAACAAGGUUAAUAUUCCUUGACCUGAUGGUAGUGACGGAUUCCGUAAGUUGUGAGUUCUUAAUGGAUUGAACUUGCCGCGAAGGGGUCCCAAGAAAUAGCUCCAUCAUGAAGACCGUACCCGAAACCGACACAGGUAGAUUAAUAGAGUAUAUUUAGGCGCUUGAGAGAAUGAUGUUGAAGGAACUCGGCAAAAUGCUUCCGUAACUUCGGGAUAAGGAAGACCCUUUUGUAGGCAACUAUGGAAGGGUGGCACAAGCCAGGGAGAAGCGACUGUUUAUCAAAAACACAGGGCUCUGCUAACACGUAAGUGGAUGUAUAGGGUCUGACGCCUGCCCGGUGCUGGAAGGUUAAUGCGGUUGGUGCAAGCUAACUUCUGAAGCCCCAGUAAACGGCGGCCGUAACUAUAACGGUCCUAAGGUAGCGAAAUUCCUUGUCGGGUAAGUUCCGACCUGCACGAAUGG